ACAGUGAUGUGCACAACCUUCGGAAUGACGAUCCUCAUUUUGUUUUCGGACUAACGAACCUUCAAAAUAAGUUAUUAACCUAACCUUAGGAAUAACGAAGCUUCGGAAUUACGAAUGUAUGCGAAAUUGACUACCCCCGCCAAGGGUUUAUUGACAAAUUCGAGAAAGAUUUAUAGGUGCUCUUAUUGCGCCUUACGCCACUUCUUCAUUCUUUGCAGCCAUGACAACCACAAAUUAUCCUGCCCACUUCGUUGCGUAGAGCGACGUAGAUCAAAUAAUUAUGUUAUCGUUUACGAGCUUUGUUAUAAGCUACAGUUACAAGCUAUGGUUCUCCGAGUACUCAUCCAAUCAGAGGCGAGAUUUUAACCGCGAGCCAAGCUCCAGCUAUUUGCGAACUCGACGGGAUUAUUUUUUUCCUCUCAAAAUUUUUCAUCGUUUGCCCCGCUGGUUUGCCGCCUACUCGCAUUGACCAAACUAUCAUCUCAAGGUGCUGUGCACGAACGUUGUUCUGCAGAUAUCAGAUAAUACAAUUUGCCAAUCAUCAAGUCUUCAAGAUUUUAAAGAAUUUCUCCAUACUCCACACCCAGAGGUAAUUAAGGGAAUCACCAUGACUGAACGCAAGGCUGUUAUCAAGAACGCUGAUAUGUCAGAAGACAUGCAGUCAGACGCGAUUGAAUGCGCUACCCAAGCUCUCGAGAAGUUCAACAUCGAGAAGGACAUCGCUGCCUUCAUCAAGAAGGAGUUCGACAAGAAGUACAACCCAACUUGGCAUUGCAUUGUGGGUCGCAACUUCGGCAGCUACGUGACACACGAGACCAAGCAUUUCAUCUACUUCUAUUUGGGACAAGUCGCCAUCUUGCUUUUCAAGUCGGGAUAGAGAUUCUUUGACGAGAUCCGAUGCUUGAUGAUGUUAUCUGCACAAACUGACAAUGCAAAGACUUAACCCUGCCAAAGCCCUCCGUGAUAAUUUGUACAUACUGGGAAAAAAUGUUUAUGUAUUAAUGCUUUAAUUUUUCUCUGUUCGGUCUCUGUAUUCAGCCUACAUGACAUCUCUAAUUGCAGAUGUCAGCAUGGUCAGUGUUCCAAGACUUAUAUAUUGAGACACUGUCCGAUGUUUAUUUUUUAAGAUCAAUCUAUUAAUCUUCAGUUUGACUUACCAGAAGAUGGACAAUCAUUUAUAAUUACGAUGUCUUGCCAAUGGUAUUAUUAUCAACUCAUUUUGCGUCUUAAGAUUUUUUGUUCCUUGAAAAGCGAAAAAUACUAUUUUCUUUUGGAUUCUUAAAAAAUAGAUAGGUCUACUUUUUCGACAUUCCGUUCUCUUACCUUGAAGCACCACCUUCUCAAAUGAAGGCUAAGAUGGAGUAUCGCCAUUUUAAGGGAAAGUUGUAAGAAAACGGGUUUCAGCUUACCAAUGACGUGAUAUUUGAUUUAUUUGAUAAAGCAGUAUUUCAAUCCAGUAUUAGUGCACCAGGGAAAUUUUCCCUUCUGUUUGUUACACUACAUUAUUCUUUUCUUGAUUCAACCAGCCAAAGCAAUUUUUUUAUUUGUGAAAGUGCUAUAUGAAAGUUGUUGAUGAUAAUUAUAUUAUAUUGUUGUAAUCAUGAUUGUCUUUUUUUUUUUGGGGGGGGGGGUUGGGGGAUGUCAUUCCGCUAUUACUAUUGAAAGAGAAACAAAAUAAAAGCAUAAGUACAAACAAAAAGUAACACAGUUUUGCCCACUCUAGUGCGUUUUAUUGUACUGCACUCUAUUUCGUUACAAGAGAGAAAUCCAACAAGAAUAACA